rnacentral:rRNA from 1 species
UACGGGGGGGGUAAGCGUUGUUCGGAAUUACUGGGCGUAAAGGGCUCGUAGGCGGCCAACUAAGUCAGACGUGAAAUCCCUCAGCUUAACUGGGGAACUGCGUCUGAUACUGGAUGGCUUGGAUUCGGGAGAGGAAUGCGGAAUUCCGAGGUGUAGCGGUGAAAUGCGUAGAUAUCGGAGGAACACCGGUGGCGAAGGCGGCAUUCUGGACCGAUAUUGACGCUGAGGAGCGAAAGCCAGGGGAGCAAACGGG